GAAUGAGGCAAGACCCUUCGAGGCGAUUGGCUCACCUGACCUUCACCUCCUCGUGCACGACCCUGACAGUAGGGUCCCCAAGGGCUUUGGAACUGCGGGAUUGGGACACGUGACUUCCCUGGUCAUUCACCUUGAAGUGGACACGGGCUGGGAUGGAGUCUUGCUCUGUCGCCCAGGCUGGAGUGCAGUGGCGCGAUCUCGGCUCACUGCAAACUCUGCCUCUCGGGUUCACGCCAUUCUCCUGCCUCAGCCUCCCGAGUAGCUGGAACUACAGAGAGGGCAUUUCAUCAUGUUGCCCAGGCUGAUCUCAAACUCCUGGGCUUGUGUCCGAAACUGGUGAGUGCUUGGUCUCACUGACUUCAAGAAGGAAGCCGCGGACCCUCGCAGUGAGUGUUACAGCUCUUAAGGUGGUGCAUCUGGAGUUUGUUCCUUCUGAUGUUCAGAUGUGUUCGCAGUUUCUUCCUUCUGGUGGGUUCGUGGUCUCGCUGGCUGAGGAGUGAAGCUGCAGACCUUCGCGGUGAGUGUUAUAGCUCUU
rnacentral:lncRNA from 10 species